AGUGAACGCUGGCGGUAGGCCUAACACAUGCAAGUCGAACGGCAGCACAGUAAGAGCUUGCUCUUACGGGUGGCGAGUGGCGGACGGGUGAGGAAUACAUCGGAAUCUACUUUUUCGUGGGGGAUAACGUAGGGAAACUUACGCUAAUACCGCAUACGACCUACGGGUGAAAGCAGGGGAUCUUCGGACCUUGCGCGAUUGAAUGAGCCGAUGUCGGAUUAGCUAGUUGGCGGGGUAAAGGCCCACCAAGGCGACGAUCCGUAGCUGGUCUGAGAGGAUGAUCAGCCACACUGGAACUGAGACACGGUCCAGACUCCUACGGGAGGCAGCAGUGGGGAAUAUUGGACAAUGGGCGCAAGCCUGAUCCAGCCAUACCGCGUGUGUGAAGAAGGCCUUCGGGUUGUAAAGCCCUUUUGUUGGGAAAGAAAAGCAGCAGGUUAAUACCCCGCUGUUCUGACGGUACCCAAUGAAUAAGCACCGGCUAACUUCGUG
rnacentral:rRNA from 1 species